AUAAAAUAAAAGUGUAAUUUUUCACCGGACAAACUCAUGUUUUAUUGGUUGAUGUUGUCAUAAUGUCAUGUAAUGUUAAAUUUGUUUGAAAAAUUAGUAAAAAUUGACAUUUUAAGUGGA